AGGAACAAUUGAACUACCUAGAAGAUAUCAAGAAGGAAUACGCAGUACCCGAUGCUUCUUUUAUGAAGUGCCUGUUUGGUUUGGCAUUUCCUACCACUAGACUCACGUUUAUAAACUCUCACCAUGAUUUUAGCAUUCCAUAACUAAAUCAUAGAUCUUAGUAACCCUUUCAUUCAUCAACUAAUUUACUGAUUUAGAUAUGGCUUGCAGUAUCAUCCAAACAAACGCUUCUUCUUCUUCUUCUUCUUCUAUGAUGACACCGAAAUUGAAGUAUGAUGUUUUUGUUAGCUUUAGAGGUCAAGACACACGCAACAAUUUCGCCGAUCAUCUUUUUGCUGCCUUUCAAAGAAAAGGAAUUUUAGCAUUCAGAGAUGAUACUAAGAUUCAG
rnacentral:lncRNA from 1 species